AAGGGAGCGUAGGCGGCUGAUUAAGUCAGCGGUGAAAGGUAGCAGCUUAACUGUUUUACAUGCCGUUGAUACUGGUUAGCUUGAGUUGACAGAAGGCAGAUAGAAUUCCUGGUGUAGCGGUGAAAUGCUUAGAUACCAGGAGGAAUACCGAUUGCGAAGGCAGUCUGCUGCAGUCACACUGACGCUGAGGCUCGAAGGUGCGGGGAUCAAACAGGAUUAGAUACCCUUGU
rnacentral:rRNA from 1 species